rnacentral:rRNA from 1 species
AUUGAACGCUGGCGGCAGGCUUAACACAUGCAAGUCGAGCGGAGAUGAGGUGCUUGCACCUUAUCUUAGCGGCGGACGGGUGAGUAAUGCUUAGGAAUCUGCCUAUUAGUGGGGGACAACAUUCCGAAAGGAAUGCUAAUACCGCAUACGCCCUACGGGGGAAAGCAGGGGAUCUUCGGACCUUGCGCUAAUAGAUGAGCCUAAGUCGGAUUAGCUAGUUGGCGGGGUAAAGGCCUACCAAGGCGACGAUCUGUAGCGGGUCUGAGAGGAUGAUCCGCCACGCUGGGACGGAGGCACGGCCCAGACUCCUACGGGAGGCAGCAGUGGGGGAUAUUGGACAAUGGGCGGAAGCCUGAUCCAGCCAUGCCGCGUGUGUGAAGAAGGCCUUUUGGUUGUAAAGCACUUUAAGCGAGGAGGAGGCUACCUGGAUUAAUACUCUAGGAUAGUGGACGUUACUCGCAGAAUAAGCACCGGCUAACUCUGUGCCAGCAGCCGCAGUAACAC